GUCUGUCGUCCUCCUCAUUAUAGUCCUCCUAGAAUCCAAUGCAUUUCGUUGGAAUACAUCCUGUCUUUUCACCUUUGUAGUCCUAUGCAUAGUCAAUACUAUAGCCCCAAUCAUGGCUACUAAUAGAAUCAGACUAGGAACCAAAAACCAUACGGAAUAGUUGGUAUAAAGUAAAUUGCCCAAUGUUUCCAAAUUAGUACAACAAUGUACCUUUCCGGCAUGAACCGUAUAUCUCAGAGAGGUCGUAUUUCUGUAGGUUGGUAGUAAUGGAAUGGUUUCAUUAUCUAAAAUAAAGAACAUUUCCCACCAAAGGAUCAGUCCAAUAAUACCACUGACUGGUAAAUAGCGCAAGACUUCUUCGUGAAUCUCAGCUAUUUGAAUAUUGAACAUCAUUACCACGAAUAGGAAUGAAACGGCAAUAGCUCCUAUAUAAACUACUGGGAAGAUCAUAGCGGAGAAGUCGAGACCUAACAAUAUGAGUAAACCAGAAGUGUUGCGAAAGACUGGGAUGGGAAACGAAACGGAAUGUACCGGAUUUUUAGCACGUACAACCAUCAAACCGGAGACCAAAGCAAGGCUCGACGAAACAGAAAGUAUCAUGGCUUUCAGCUCCUUCCUUGAAAAUGGAACGGGAAUGCUUCUUCUUGCUCCAAUAUUCAAGUCGAUCUAUUACGACCAGCACGGUUGUUCGUAUUUCAUUUUCUUAUUCAAAGCUCAAACCCCUCCUUAAAAGAAACCACCUACUAACUGAAUGACUUCAAAAGAAAGCACUCACUGAAUUACUUACAGAAUCUCGUCUUUAUCCAACACAACGAGAAUUGGGGACGUGUCCGGGUCGGAAUUCCAGUAAGGGCAGAGGUUCGGCUUGCUUCUCCCCCACCCUGAAAACAAACGGAGGCAUCUUUCCUAUAGUGCGCCCUGCUAGCAACUACAGCAUCAAAGAAAAACCACUGGUAGUGCGCCCGAAACUACUUGGAGCAUACCCUGCUAGCUAAUCUAAGCAGAAAAGAGGAAAGAGCCAAAACGAAACUACAGCAUCAAAGAAAAACAGCCAGUUAAUAAAUACAUUUAGAGUAUUUGUUCAGAUGCUUGGAUUCUGUUUUAUGCAAUCAUCUUCCAAGCGUUAUUCUCUAUUGCAUUGCUUUUGACAUUGACCACUGGGGCAUAUGAUGAGCAGCAAUCCGAUUUGUCUCAUACUCGCCGUACCAAGCAAGGCUCAAGUGUCGUCUUCACCGGUUACCAGCAGAGUGCAGCUCGAAGUCAGGCAAUGAACCUCGAGAUAAAAGAAGUGUUUUGACUUUCCGCUUAUUGAAACUACCUUGAUUUAUGAAUUUAGCAAGGCGGCACGCACUGUUAUCGACUAUUAAUGGAUUCAAUUAGCACAGUGAAUUAUCGACUAUUAAUGGAUGAAACAAACUAGUAUGCCCACUACACUUCACUCCGUAAGCACUAAAGAACUCGCUAACGCUAUUUACUGGAUCAGGGGGCGAAAGAGAAGAAUCAAGCUAGCCCCAGAGAACCUCAUAUAGAAUCUUGUAAAAACACUGCUUCCUUGUUGUAUACGAGACAGUUUAUAGGCAACACCGAGUUGUAGUCCCAGAGCAUAAAAGUGAAGUGAGGAUGCAGGCGCUUUAGCUUUCCAAGUCGUCAAUGUGCAAGCAUCAAAGUUCAGUAAGUAUAAAGUCAGCGGUGAAGUAUAAAGUCAGCGGUAAGUAUAAAGUCAGCAGUAAGUCAAUCAGUGUUGUCAUUGCGUAGAUAGAAAGACAGAAUUCAAGUGAGCGGGUAAGGCGGGUAUAAAGUUAGGGUAUCAGGUCCGGGUAUAAAGUCAGGGUAUAAAGUGAGGGUCUCAAGUCAGUUUGUUUCAUCUGCAAUUCAAUCAGUGUCGAGUGAAGGUUCGGUUCCUUUGAUGAAUAAGAAUAUCUUACGCGUCCUAAGUCAAUCAGUAUCCGGGUCCGGGUGCGCAGAAAGUGGAUCAGAGAAUGAAUCAGUAGUGGAAAGUAAGUUGCUAGCGGGUCUGCAAAUGAGAGUUCUUUUCUUGUUUCUAAGUCCGUGAAAUCUGCCAGUUCUUUUAUUGUUUCCCUUACAUUAGAUAGAAGUGGAUAACAAAAGAUAUAGGUACCGAGUCCUUUCUUCGUGCUCUAAGUCUACGAGAGAGGAGAGGUCCAGUCCAAGCACCUUUAUUAACACUUAUAGCCUUGCCACUUAUAGCCUUGCCCGGCGCGAGAGAAGAGAAGUAAGCUUUGCGAGUUUAGCUAACGGAGCUUCAAUUCCAUGUUUUAAGUUCGAAAGGAAGUCGACAAGAUCAUCAGUUUCAUCCGUGUUUGCAACAACCGAUUCUGCCAGGCCUGAUCAGAGUAAGGAUUUUCAGAAAGAACAGGAUCCGUUGCCGAAGCCGAAUCUCAAGAUUCCAUGAAUGUUUUACUCGCCGCUCGCUGGAAUGAAAUCAGAGUGUCUUGUGUGGCCCUUUGCAUGAUUGAAAGCUUUCAAGAGUUGUGGUCGGCUAUUACUCUGGUAGGUAACUGACUCCUUCCUGUCGUAUCGAGUACUGCUCCCUCUAGCCUCCUUCCUAUCGUAUCGGGUACUUUUCCUUCUAGCCUCCUUCCUGUCGUAUCGGGUACUGCUCCCUCGACACCCUGUAGCACAGGAAAGGCUUCAACUUCCACUUUCAUAGUACCCGCAGGGCGAAUCAAACUUAUCAUAGUAGUAGGCCCGGGUAAGACAGACAAUUGCCUCGACUCGAUAUGAAUUAUCCAGAAGAAACCUCAUAUCUCUUUCAAAAGGAUGUACAAUCAAACUCACCUCUGUAUCGAUUCAAUAGAAGUCAAAAACAGAAGUUAUACCCCAAUACCGAUGUAUAUGUAAAAAGCAGGUCCGAUUACGCCAAUUCAUAAUCCUUAAUAUGGAGACGUAGCGAUCCAUAUGUCUAAAUAGUCUCUAUAAUUGGAUACGCUCGAAUGACCUAUCCUCAUAAUCUGAAAGAAUGUUAAUAACCCUAUUCCGGUCUGGUCAGGUAUUGCCAAUCUUAUUAUCGCUAUUCUUAGAAGUGAAUAAACCCAACCCAUUCUAAUUGGGGGGUUGGGCGGAACAAGAUCUACUCAUUCUUUUAUUAAAGUGAGUAAGAGGGAUCUUGAACUAAGAAAUAGACCUAGAAGCUAAAAGAGGGUAUCCUGAGCAAUUGCAAGAAUUGGGUUCAUUGAUAUUGUAUAGUCGCUGGCUAUCACACAUACAGUAAUACUCUAGUCGCUGGCUAUCACACAUACAGUAAUACUCCAAAUUCGAUGGAAUUGUUUGAUCUUAAAGGAGAGAUUCUAGAAUUUAGCACGCACGCUAAGGGGUGAUUUCUGGAUUUCGUCCAGUCAGUCAUUAAGAACUUGAUUAUUGGUUAUAGCCCAUAUAGAAAGAGAAAAAUCAUUGUUAGGGCCCUUAGAUGUAGGUAAAUCUCAUUGUUAUAGCCCAUAGAUAUAGGUCAUUAUUUAUAGGUCAUUAUUAUUGUUAUAGCCCAUAGAUAUAGGUCAUUAUUCUGGAAAGUAUGUACUAAUAUUAUAUGUCUAUCUAACAUAGUCAAUCAAAAUAGCAGUCGAAAUACAAUUCUAUUUCCUUUGGGAUCUUUCCUUUCCCAUCCGCUUCAUCAAUUAACAGAUGAUCUGCUCCGUUCUAUUCCAUGAUAACAUCUUAAGAUAGAUUUGAGAAAAGUAUAUUAAUAAAGUGGACCUUCCCUAUUAGUAGGCUUAAACAUGAGAUGAGUAAAAAAAGCAUCAAUCUCUAUUCUGUCUAUAGGAGUAUAAAAACAAAGGUGAUAUGCGCGUGGAUCGCUCAACGGAAGAAAUCAUCUUAUUAUGUGUAAAACCCUCUUUGGACAACAACUAGUCAUUUCCAAUAUCCAAUAUUUGGAUUAGUAAUAAACUAGAAAAAGAAUAGCGGAACGGCUUUCUCUUCUCGAAAGGACAGAAAGAAUAGGAACAUGCGAAUAGCUGCUGAAGAUGGACAUAAGAAGCGAGCCUAAUUGAGGGUUCACUGGUGCUAAGGUAAGUAAGGGCACAAUAAGGCCUUUCUCUCUGACGUGUGGGAUCCUUUCGAAAUCAAUAGAAUCUUCCGGAAGCUAACGUUAGCGAGUUAAUGUUGAGUUGCUUGUUUGUUCCCUUGGCUGCUUACUUGUUCUAUAAUUAACAUAUAAGUCACACACAUGAUAUAAAUGAGUAACAACUAAAUGAGUAACAACCCUGGAACUCGAAACUCGAAUAUAAAUAUAACUGCUCUAAACUCCUCUCUCGCUGGUAUUCGCCCUAUCCCUGAGUUGACUCCAAAUCAGAGAACCCCCUCUUUAUUCAAAUAAGAGAAACACCCCCUAUCUUCUUUUAUUAGUUAUGGGCGCCCAUGCCAUCAUAAAGAAAGAGGCUAGAUUCGAUUUCUCCUUGAGUUAGCUUUGACUUCCGACAGUGCCUAAUCACCACUUAUUCAACUGAGAGCGAGCGAUCUUAAAGUCAGCAGUAAUUUGUUAGGUUCUUAUACCACACUGCUGUAAUGUGUUAGGUUCUUAUACCACAUAAUAUGCGACUUCUUAAUCCAAUCAAUUUCAGAUUAUAAGCAACGAACGGAACAAGUUGUAGAGUUCCAGAAGCCCUUUAGCUAACGCAGAAAGAACUCGCACCCCGGAGAAGCAGAAGAGUCAGCUGCCCGGCGCACAAGUAAGCAAGCAAGGGAACGAAUAAUGUACUUUUUGUUGGGUUGGGUUCGCUCAGUGCUGUAAGAAGUGUUGUUUACGUGCUUAUAUAUCUUAGGCGAAAGGUAUAUUCCAUUCCUUAUUCCAUUCCAUAUCUAUAAGUUAGUUUCGAGUCCGGAGUUCUAUUAAUCUCUUACAUAAUGAAUGAGUACAAAAAGAAGUGGAUUAAAGCAAUGGAACAAGAAGUAGAUACUAUACAUCCGCGCCCUUACCCCAAGAGUCAUAUGUUUGUUUCUGUAAGCAGGUAGAGCAGAGACAGCGGAGUGAGUAGGGUCAAGCAGGUAGAGCAGAGACAGUCCUUAUAAAGCAUAGUUCUAGGGGGCAAGCAAGAUAGGUCAUUAUCCAUUUUCUUAGUGGAAUAGAGUAGGCAAGGCCAAUCGUGCUUAUCGAAUACUCAAGGAUUUCUCUUUACUUUAUCAUUUCCAUCCUUUCUCUUUCAACUUUACUAGCAUUGGAGGAAUGGAAUAGGCGGAAGACACCUCUAUAGCAAUAUCCAAACAUCCUAGAAAGCGCCUCUCUUAAUAGAUCCAAAUGAGUAAGGAUUCCACAAUAACUACACUACUUUGAGAUAAAGCCUUAGACACAAUCACCGAACCUAGACUCAGAGCCGUACACUGAUCUUGCAGACAAACAAAACAAUCCAGAUUUCCCUUCUUGUGCAGACAAACAAAACAAUCCGGAUUUCCCUUGUAUACGAGUUGGGGCAAUCAGAUAGUCAAGUUCAGGGGCUUCAUCCACUCUCACAGCUGCUUCCCUUACCACAGCGGAGUCUCUAACAGCAGUGAACCCAGCUUCUCCUUAUCCUGCUUGAAUGCCAUCGCCAUCUUAUCUACUUCCACUCGGUGAAGAGCUGUCAACCCGACCUUUCUACUGCUUCGCCAGAUUGAGAGCGCAUAGGAGGAAAACAUGAAUCUCUAUAUUACGGAAACUUAACUGCUUGCUUAAUCAUCUCUCUAGAAUUACCAUUUCUUAAUCAUCUCUCUAGAAUUACCAUUUAUAUACACACACUCCUUCCUUUAAUAAUGGAGUUGACUACUUUUAGAAUAACCUCGCUACAUCGUACCUGCUUCUUAGUGUUCUACCCCGGUCUUCCACUCUGCAACUUGGGAGAGCACCGACAGUGAGAUGAGAUGCGCAACCCUGUGGAUUACAAUCAUAAGAUUCCAAAGAAGGGGAAGCUGCGUACUUAAGCAGGUACAUAACCUUACUAUCUACUUAUCAGGUCUUCCACUCGCCAAUCAACCUAGAAAGAAAGGAGGGCCAAGCAAAACCCCCAUUUCUCAGAAUGGAACUAGUAAUAGAAACACUCGAACUUCUACCGACAAGGAAGCAAACAAAUAACUCAUUCUCUAAACACGGAUCUGGAGCCUUACCGGUAUGCGCCAACGCAACUUCACCUCACAAGAAGGAAUUGCACUCGACACCCGGAGAUCCUAUGCUUUUGGUGGUAGCCCGCCCCAAACCUAGCUCUAAGCUUGCCCUGUCUGACUUUUCUUCUCUCAUCACGGAGUCGGAUCCUUGAAUCACGACCUGCCUAACAAGUCCUUUCCUAUUUUCUAUUUUAGCUUACUAGCGCGGUAGCUCAUUCUAUGGCUCCUUGCCUUGGGUCUUACAUCCCUUUCUUUUAUUCUUCAAUGCUUCAAUGCCUUAUUCCUAUGUAAUAUAUGGAUUCUUCAAUGCCUUUAUUCUGUUGACUUUGUUUAAUGAUUCUUUUCACCGAUAUUAGAGUUUUAUCAAUCAUAUUGUAUGAGAAUAAACCUAAUAGGAGCAAGGGUGGAACUACCAAUACCAAUAUAUAGUGAGUAAAUACAGAAAGCAACUACAAAAAGAGAGAAUGGAAAUUUGCCCCAAGACACCAAAACGGGCUCGUUAUCUACUGCCUUAUUGCCUUACUUGAAAACUAGCACCUGGUCCUCUCCUUCAUUCUCUAACUACUGAGCUACACCCUUUCGCCAACCACUGAUGGAAUUGCAGAUGAAACUUGCACUGGAACUCGUCAAAAGUACUCAUCGGGCUCAACGUAUCAAGUCAUGUUUAGAAAAGAUAAGAAGAAUCCUUAGUAGGGGAAAUUCGAAUUGAAAACGGAAAAGUCUGGCAAAUGGCGAAUCAGCUGUUCAAGAGAAUGACUCUCUGUAGGAUACAACUCGAUAACUACAUCUUUUCUCUUUAUUACCAACUAACUCCGGCCUCUCUUGCUCUUGAAACAAAGUCAGAUCUUGAAACCUUGGCGAAUUCCAUUCUUAUAGUAAUCAACUCCAUUCUAGUAGUGACUUUGCGGGGUGUGAGCUAGCUUCAUAAGAGUCUACUUUCCUUCCUGGUCGAUUGGAAUCCAACAAGCAACUAAAGCAAGUCCUUUGUUCGGCAACUACUACUCCUGUGUUCACCGGCGGUUAUUCCGGAGUCCUACCUAAUUAAUAGCUAAAGUAACGACUUGUUUUCCGUGUAGUUGAAGUUUGAAAGAGCUGAUGCCGAUGCCUACCUAAUAGAAUAUAGAAUAAAGAAUAGAAGUCUAAGUAGUAUUACUGACUAUAGGAAUCAAAACUAUAGUACAGAAUGAAGUGCAACAGAAGAUGCUGGAGAGGACUCAGGAGUUUGAGAAGAAACUAGAUUAGAAGCGGGAGGAAUCAGCUGAAUCAGUAUCAAGUCUUGUUCUAUCUGAAAAGAGAGUUCCCGAUUCAAUACGAGUUGGGUCAAUCAUCUCUUCUGAACAAGCAACUAAGCUAAGAGAAAAGGUGGGUAACUACACUCGCGCUUCAGCUCUUUGUAGUGGUGGAGUUAUCAAGUUUCGUUUGAAUUGUGAAAUGAAAUCCAGCGAAUAUGCAUUUGUAUAGAUCCUUUUAACCUUACCUCGCUGAACAAGUCCAAAUAUAUUCUUAACCAGCAAGCUCUGUUCUCAAGUCAUCCGUUAAGUCGUCAGCAGCAAGAUCUGGUACUUCAAGUUCCGCUCACUCUCUCUUCCUCACCGGCUCCCUCCGUGGACUAUCCGAAUUCUACUUUCUUUCCUUCCCGCAAUACAAGCAUAAGACCACACCCAUUCUAUCAUACGAUGCUAAUUCUUCUGUGAGAGUUGAAGACCGCCCCUACCUACUCUUUGAGUCUAGUAGUUCCUUGUCUGUGAGUAUAGUAGUGGGCAUCGUUAGGCUAAUAGUCAUCAGCUCCAGUGUUUUUGCCUAUAGUUGGAUCCCCGCUAGUGAGAUAAGUCUUGGCGUCGAGUAGUUACUUGAUUUUGGAAGCCUUUGAAGAGUAAGCUGUCUUGUCUUACCUGUCAAUGAGUUAAGCCAUCCUGAUCCGACGUCCGUGCGAAUGUGGAGAACCACGAAAAGGCAGGGUGUAGCAAGCUAGGUCCCAGUGUCGCAUGCUAGGUCCCUUGGUGAGAAGGAAAGUUCCUCAAAUCUAAUGUAUUGUUUCCCACGAUCGGUACCAGUGUUAUAGUGGAAGUUCCUCAAAUCUAAUGUAUUGUUUCAUAAGAUCGGUACCCUGGAUCCGUAUAGUAUGAUUCCUCCCUGGCCAACCUCUUUAACAGCACUACUUGGCUCUAGUUUCUUUCUAUUUUCCGUUGGCGCUAUGCGGUUGUAGUAGUUGAUUGGCGAGUGGAAGACAGGGUUCCCUUAUUCUUAUUAGUUUCAGACCGGAGUGGAAGACCUGUCCCUUAUUCUUAUUAGUUGAAAGAGCAGAGCCAGAGCCCCCCAGUAGAUGUAGAUUCAAAGGACUGAGUGCAAUUCUGACUUUAGCAAAGAUAACUGCUUUACUCUAAACCCUUAAAGUGGUAGUCCAGAGCCAUAACUGUAGAGCAUCUAAAAGCAAGGGCAGGCCCCAGGUAAAGAAUCAGAAUCCUAUGAGGCAGGUAAAGCCCGGCAUAAAAGAAAGGAAAGGUGAACUCCUUUGCCAACUCCUAAAUGGAACUACACUUUCUCCUUGACCUCGAGCUGCCAGUCGACCAGACCCGAACUAACUCUUAGACUCGCUAACCAAAGAAAAGAAUUCAUUUCUAAAGAUAGAAUUAAUUGAUAUUGAUUUCUUCUACUGUAAGAUCAGCUCCCUCUGUGCGCCUAGUGCUUGGUUAGGUAAGAGAUGGAUUCCAUUCCUUCCUGCUUACUUCACCUAUUCUUCUUAAGCUUACUUCACCUACGAUUCUGAAAUAGUAGUUCUGCUCUUGCUCUUGAAACAAAGUCGGAUCUCUCUUCCCUGGCCCUUGCUUUAAUCAUUAUAAAGAAAGCAUGAAUACCGGUGAAAAGGAACAAAAUCCGUUGAAGACAAAGAAUACUGCGUGUAAGCCAUUGGAUUAGCAAGAUAUAGAUGCGGAACCGGAUGAGUAUCUUCAUUUCUUACAAGGUUAGUCUACGUACGACUCAACUAAGCUUUCGAAAUGGAUACAAAGUGCUUCUUCAUUGAAGGCUCUGACAGAUACAAAGUGCUUCUUCAUUGAAGGCUCUGACAAGAGUUCGUGAAUAGCCGAGGUCAACAUAAAAGAAGGAAACAUUCUAGGCCAACCAGCCCCAACUGACUGGGGGUCUUCUUGACCAAUGUUUGGUAAAGGUCGGGUACAAUAGCACUUUUGGAACAAGCCCAGUCGGCGGAACCAGUACGCUCUUCUGAUGACUCAAAGGCAUAUAAAACCCUUGAAAUACUAUAGAGCGCUCGCGGUUGUAAGAUGCAAAAAUCGCUCUUCAUUCAUUCAUAUGGAAAAGCGAGGCAUUCCCGCUUUCUUUAUUGGGUAAGAAUUUGUCUCUUUUUGAAACCGUUGAUUCGACCACUAUUUGGUACACUGGACAAUGUUGGUUUCCAAGAGAUACCCUAACAACUGGUACCUCGCGGAUGGAUGGGUAAAUAUCGGGGAGAAAUCAUUCUCUUGCGCAACGGAAGACGCAUCUAACCGUUGAACUCACAUUGGAACCCAUCGAUCGGCUGGCUUUUGUCACUCACACGCGCGGCCAGCCCUUGAUCCAUACCCAGAUCCUUAUACUAGCAUUGUCUGCGAAACCCGCACCUGUAAUUACCUAGCCGGCCGGCAACUAGACUACUCUACUCGUCCAAGAGAGCAGGAGAUGUUAAUAAAACAGUACUGAGUAGGAGCAAUCCAUUCGAGCAGGAGAAGUGAAUAAAACAGUCAGAGUAGGAGCAAUCCAAGAGAUUCAUUACCUGCAGAGACUUUAGUAAGUAUUGGCAAUGGUUCGUUAUAGUCGUAAGAAAGAUGAGCUUGCUGGUCUCUGAGGCCAUCGUUCGAAUCUUGAAUGACAUUAUGGAUAUUUCUUUUUUUGCUUGUUCAUAUGCUUUUUGCUUUAAAGGUUGGAAAUAUGGGAUAUCUAAUAAAACCUUUGAGAAUCUAUCAUCUCGAUCUGGAUUUCCUUUAAGGUUUUUUCCAUAGAGAAAGGUUUCCAAAUCAAAGGUGCUGAAAGCCUUUUGUUAAUGAAAAGAAAGGUAUGGAUAUGCUUGCUCCAUCUUUUGGAUUCUGGAUUUGGAAAAGAAAGUUGAUGAUAAGGAAAGUGCUGUGCAAUUCAAAAAGGGGUAGGGCCUGGUUUAUUAAGCAUAGUUAAUAUAUACUUAGCUGAGAUAUUCAUUAAUAUUAUAUACUUAGCUGAGAUAGACCGAAUGAUAUCUGUGGUACUCCCGCGGGACUGGAAACACUUUCGGUACCAGACUAAGGUAAUAAUAGUCAUUUCUUAGCAAUCAGUAAAAAAGGGAACAAAGCCCAUUACAGAUGAGAGAAUCAAAGAGCAGGUCAUUCUCUUAAAUGAGUGGCAUGUUGAAGGCUAUCACAAAUGAGUGGAGUCUCUUUGUUCUGGUGAAGCGUAUCUCGAUAAGAAAGGAGUUUGAUAUACUUGUUUCUAACCAAUCCUUCAUUUUAGGUAUUUCCGAGAAAGGUCAAAUCUUAUGGAUUACUGGAGAAGAAGAUUCGUUUUUUGCUGCCCCCCAUCUUGGAUUUGGAUUCAGACUAAGGGGAAGGGUGUCAAAUCCCACGUUGUUGGCGCCUCGUCUCUCCUAUCUUAUUUGAAGUAAGGUUUUUCACCAAGCAGAGAAUCACCCAAUUUUGAUCUCGGCAAUCAAUCCCCUAUUUAGAUCUUUAGUAAAUAAAUAGCCAUUCUUUUUGUCCUUGGCCGCAUCAUUAGCAAAACAUUCUUAUUUCACCCUGGAUCUAGACCUUAGAACCUUGGAACGAUGGGAGCUAUCGACUCACUUCUUUCUUCCCACCUAUUCUGUCGAUCAAGUGGUUAUAAUGAACCAAUCCUGGAAUGAAUUAGAUGCAUAAAGUAGUAUCUAUGAAUCAAUUCCAUCAGCUUACAACCCCAUCCUUUCUAUCUCGAUCUAUGAAUCAAUUCCAUCAAUCAAUCAGCAGUAAACCCAUCCUUUCUAUCUCGAUCUAUGAAUCUCUGAGACCGAGGACAACCAGACGAGAGGGACCGAAAAAAGUAGCUGCAUUGCAAGAAAAGUUGCGGACCAAGCGACGGGACAAGCAACGACUAUACCACUUACCUAUUACUACUGAUUCACAACUGGACUACUGAUUAAAGGGGCAAGGCAAGAACUAUACUUUCAACUCUCACUCGAAUAAGUCUAACGCACUACCUACCCUCUGUAACUUUCAAGAAAGAAUGCAAUGCAAAUAAGAUAUAUGUAAUGUAGUAAAUACUCAACUACUUGUUUGCGCUGUUCAAACUAACUACUAAAGCAAUUGGGCUUCUGGAACUCUAUCACUAACACAAGCAUUCUUCUGGAACUCUAUCACUAACACAAGCAUUAACCAUUAAGCAAAGUAGGUCCUGUGUGAAGUAAACCAUGACUCGAUUUCUGAAUGAACGUUAGCACCCGCCCGAUCUAGUAAGCAUUAGCGCUACCAACGGCGAGAUCUCAAUUCCUCUUUUAUAUAACAUCUGGUUCCACAUUUCAAUGACUGGUUUCCUCGGCGCAACAAGUCCUGUUUUUGGGUGUUCUGUAGACAAAUAUUCUCCACUCCUUCCUCAGAGAUAGAUGCUUUAAGCAAGGGGUGGGUUUCAUUGUCUCCUUCCUCAGAGAUAGAUGCUUUACCGAGUCAAGUGUCUGAGGGAAAGGGAUUAGAGGGAUUCCCCGUCCAAUAGAUUUCCUGUCUUUUCUCUGCUUCCGAAAGGCGAAGGGAUUUCACCUAUGAUCUGAUCAGUGGUCUCAACAAGAAAAUUCCUAAAUCGAAAUUAGUCAAACAAGAAGAAAUCAUACAAUAGAUUGAAAUUGAGAAAGAUUCACUAUGAGAUAAGAUAUAUAUAUAUGGAUUGAUUCACGAGAGAUAAGAUAUAUAUAUAUAUUGAUUGAUUGACACUUAUAUUCUAUUUCUUAGUGGUAGAUAGUUGGCAUGCUCGUAAAUUCCUUAGUGUUAGAUAGUUGGCAUGCUCGUAAAGAGAGGUGUCGGUGUCAGGUUAGCGUUCAUAAGCCCAUAUUUGUUUAUCUAAAACAGAUGCCCUAUAAGAUAGACAGACUGCCGGGCAGAUAGAAAGAAGCAAACCAGCACUACCUGCUUUCAGUCUUAACCAUGUCUCUAAACCUGCCUCUCUUUACUACUCCGAGCCCUGCUGCACUGCUAUUGUCUGGUAGGGGAAGCAAAGGGAGAGCGAGUAGGGGCAGAUCAGAAGGUGAAGCGGAAGCAACAGGUAGAUCCCCAUCAGCAACAGGUGGAUCACCACCAGCACCAGCAACAGUAACAGCAAGCGCAGGAUCAGAUGACAUAUAAGUGAUAGUUUCAUCUACAAUCUAAUCUGAGGCCGUAGAAAGGUUCGGUUCCGUUUCCGUAGAAGUGGAUUUUGCUGAUUAAGUAUUGCCAGGCCCAGACUCCGUGUCAGCAUCAGUGUCAGUUCCAUUCUCAAGGUGAACAGUGCAUUCUCGAGUUGACUUUCCUAAAUAAGAUUCUUCUCCCCAGUAUUUGAUUAUUCUUAUAUUAUUCUGCAACUUUACCUUCAUCCCCAAAACCAGACUUGCGAGCACAGCACCUACACCUAGUAUAGAAACCGGUAAAUAAACUCCUUCCCCAUCUUCUUCAGUAAAUACACUCCUUCCCUAUCUUCUUCAGUAAAUACACUCCUUCCCCAUCUUCUGAAUCUGUUGAUAAGAAUAAGGGCGAGGGUAUAUAGUUGAUAAGAAUAAGGGCGAAGGUAUAUAGUUGAUGGUAAUCAAUAAGAGAGGUCGGGUCCGCUAGGGGGCAAACGAGUAGUUUCUUUCUUUUCCACAGUAGUUAGCUUACUGACUUCAGGCAAUCGGUGGGAAAGAGACAAUACUAGUUGUGAGUCGCUAGUGGAAUUCUUUGUUGCAUCUGUAUUUGUUGGUGACGAAGCGGGGGUAAUUCACAAUUCCAUUCCUCAGGAGUGAAAGAGCUAGUAGGGGAGUUCGAGGUAAAGUGGAUGUCUUCGGCGGUUAGCUUGUUUAGUGGGUGCGGCCCAUUAUUAGUUUAGGGCUUGCCCCUGCAUUCCUUUAAUUACUAGUUUCAUUGUUGAAGUUGAAUCCAAAUCAUAAAGAAUCAGUUGAUACCGGAAAUUGGUCUUAGAUGGGAAGGAAUGUUUUCAACUGACCAAGGAACCACAUAAGCUAGAGCAGGAACUACAUAAGCUAGAGCAGACCUAAUAUAUAAUGAAAGCUUUAGUGGAGGUAGUAAAGUAGGAGACAAGCAACUGAGGAAGGGAAGCUAGAAAACAGAGGAAACUCGGGAUGAAACUAGUAUCAAUUCCCCUUUAAGUAGUAGUCCAGUGAAUAAGUAGUAAAUGGGCCUUUCUUGUCAUACAGGGAAUUCUUAGCCUCUACCUCUGGUUUUGGUGAUUUGGUUCUCUUGACACUCUAGUUUUGUGUUCUACUAGAUGCGUUAGCAAGUUAUGUCUUUUCUGGCCAGCUUCAUUCUUCAAACAGCUGAUGAUCUCUCGUCGCCAACAAACAGGACAGGGAACUUGCCCCAACAAACACCUAACACACCUAGGCUUCCUCAGAAGAAAAAGACACCGAGGCUUCCUCAUAAGAGAAAGAAUUCCACUCAUUGAACUUCCCGCUUGCUACAGGCUCGGCUCUAUCAACAAAGACAGAUGACACUCGGUAUUAUUACUAUAACUCUCACAGGACUACCUGGACUACAUGACUUAACGAGCACUUAAACUAGAGCACUUCAACUACUUACUUGUUUGAUUCUUAUUAUAGGGCUUUCACACCUGUUAUGCUUGAAUACCUUUAUUUAGUAGAGUGCUUUCCUGGAGACAACACUGCUGAUGAAGAUCUUUAUUCCUCAGUGGAAGAUACCUCGCUUCCUCGCCUUUACUUGACCCUGGCAAAGGGAAAAACCAGUCACUGGCAAACGGGGUACUUUUGAUACCUAACUAUAUGCCUAACUGCUUCCUUUGCAGAAACUGACUAUAGAGGAACUUAACAAGGUGGCCUUUCAACUUCACUCUUGUGCUUUUCUCUUGACCUUAGUUGUCGUGGAGAAUGACCAGUUGCUGUUUCAUCCCGAGUUGACAUAGGUAGAUUAGAGCCCAGUCUUGACCUUAGUUGUCGUGGAGAAUGACCAGUUGCUGUUUCAUCCCCAGUUUACAUAGGUGGAUUAGAGCCCAGUUCCAGUUGCCUUACUUAUAACGGGAGAAGAGCCAGAGCCAUAGGAUAGGUCGUCAAGGGAGACAAUAAGAAUGGAAUGGAAUUGUAAAUUACCCGCACAUUCCUUCCCGCGCUUACUGUCUUCUUCUAAUAAGACUAGGAAUAGGGUUAGAUCUCGAACAGUCUCAUCAAGAACAAGAAAAGGAGCUGAACAAGAGGCGUUUGGAAGUGACACAAGACAAGAAGUAAAGUACUAAUGGUUACGGGUAAGGCCCACUCCGGGUAGUCAACGUCGUCUUUACUAGAUGCCUCCUCUGUCCUGAAAGAAAGGAAGGGUUCGGUGCCUAGCUUCCAUUCUUAAAGCAAAUCUAAGAUGCCUAGGUUCUAUUCUUAAAGCAAGGAGUGGUGAUAAAGGAAAGUCAAGAUUCGGUGACUGUGUUGCUUUUGUCUAUAAGUCUUCAAGUAUUGGUUCGUUAAGAAGAUCUUUUCUCAUGUUGCUGGUUCAGUUAAGCGCUUAAGUCGAAAGUGUCUCAGCGGGACAGAAGGAUCACUUUUGAUUAUAGGUGAACUAAGUACUUAAUGGAGUUCAUAUUAUUUGAGCGUUAGGGGAGCCUCUUUACACUUCUUCCUCGGGCUCUUUAGCUUACACAGCUUCAUCUCUUUCUUGGGCAUCUGAUCUAGUAUCUAAUCUUUCUUCUUCUCCUUGAACAGCAUCCUCUGUUGUAGAUGUCGACUUUACUUAUCCAGUUUCUAACCCUUUACUGAAUUCUGACCUAAACUCUGAAAGGGGAGAAGGUGAGAACGACUAUCACUCUGCUGCCCUUAUCCACUAUGACAGUCUGUCCUUGCCUAACUGCUACAGCUGCUCUUACGGCGCUACCACGAAAUCCUAGCCCGGGAACACUAAAGACCUAGCCAAUCUAUUUCCAGCUUCGCGAGACAGUGCCAUCCCAAGCGCUAUAAUAAAGGAGAUGAGAGAACCGUCAGCACCCGCCUCCACUGCCCCACAGCUAGGUUAAUUAGAGAUAACUGCCCUUACCUUACACAGGACUACUACUUGGCGAGAAGCACGAGUUUCAUCCGAACACAGGACUCGGUCCAAGGGUUUUUAUUAUGACAUUGUAGCCAGCAGCAAAGGUAGUUGGUUCUCUCGAGCGGGGCGGUAAGUCAACUCUAUUAGGUAAAGCUGGAUUUCUUUCUUUCCCACUUGCAGACUUCCUCUUGAUCUCGUACUCUGGGUACAGUUGAUUAUCCUACUGCCUCGCCUGCCUCUGAUCUUUCACCUCAUAAGUCAUAAUUGCUAGAAAGAGAACUAAGUGCUACCUCUUUUCUCUUACAAUAUGUGCUAGAUCGGACCUUAGAGUUUAAGUCUUCACUUCUAUUAUGAAAUUAGAACAGGAGAGUCUCAUUCUUACUGGAAUCUAAGAGGCACUGGGUGAGUUACAGAUUCUAUGAUACAGAGCUCAAUCCCCAUUACCUUACCUUAUAGCUCAAUCCUAUUCUUAUUACCUUAUAGCUCCAAUCCGGAUAUUAUUCUUGAUCAGCUCAGGAUUCUUCUCCUUCUCCUGGUUCCCCUGGUUCCCCUGCUGGUUGAAUUUCUUGAUCUAUCUCUUUGUGGUUACCUAUUUCUUUCUAAGAUGAAACAAGAACUCCCCUUUCCUCACGAGAACUGUAAGAAAGGACUUAACUCGAAAGAGAGUAUUCAAGCCAGAGUACUGAGUUCGUACUUGUGCGCAAGCAGUAUGAGUGUCCCGGCCGAGUACAGCUACAGGGGAAAGCUUCUUAUAUCCUACUUCAGGGUACAGCUGCCUUAACCUCUUAUUCCUACUCCGGACUAUACUACUACUUAUCAGACUUUUAGGCAUUCUCUACAUUAUGAAAUACUUCUAUAUGGCCUUUGCCCUUGUUCUUUUUCAAUUCCAUGAUUACGUUCGGUCUCGGCUCGGGGUUGCGCCUAUUUUCUCUUUUCUUGAAAGUAAGCAGUAAUGCAGUUCAUCUUCCUCUUGAAAGUAAGCAGUAAUGCAGUUCAUCUUCCUCUUGAAAGUAAGCAGUAACGCAGUGAGCUUAGGUGACUUUUGGGGCGGUCAAUAAGAGAAUGGUAGUACCGGGCAAUAAGAGAAUAUAGUAAUGGUGCUUGGCUUACUUGACUUUAAGGGUAGUGAAGAAUGGAGUUGAGCUCAAAAAAGAAAAUAAGAAGAAGCGCGAGAACUAGAGCAGUAAACUAAAACCCAUAGAUCUUUCCCGCUGACGGAAGACUUAACCGAUGCAGAACUACUAGCCCUAAAGUUUGCCUACUUUCUAUCUCUACGACGUCAAGCUAAUCACCUGGACUUGACUCGCACAAGAACUACACUUAAAGAUACGCCUUUCCUUUAAAACUCCAUAUUGGAUUCCUUUCGCCCAAGCAAGGGUAACCUAAACCAUCGGCUGGAACACGGGGUUUAAGCUGCAGCAAUCUAACACUGAUGAAGAAAGGACUGAAAGUGACCAGUCUUAAUCUUAAUCAUAAGCAAAAACUAGAUAAGGAUCAGAGACAAGAUCGGGAUUAUCAGCCGAAGCAAGAUCAGAAGCUUAAGAACCAACAAACUACUACUAACUGCUGCCUCUAUUUGUUUUAGACUUGCUCCGUUAUUUCAUUCCAGCAAUCUAUGCUCUUUCAGUUCUGCCUUGCUUGGUUAAGUUCCAGAAUUCUUUUAAUGCUUUGUUGUCUACAAGUACGGGUGCGAGAAAAGCCUCUAAUAUACGUGUGAGAGAGGUUUUGAAUGCCCACCACAAGGUUAAGUUUCAAGUUCGCUGUUUCCGCCAAGUUCCAGAGCUGGAGGAGCAAGCCCUAUAGCAGAAAAUAACGAGUAUGAAGUGCGCUGAAUAAGAGAAGGCUAUUAUUUAAGUAAGGCCUAUAAAAGAAGGCUUAUUUCUCGUAGCCAACAAAGCCCUAAAUAAUAAGGCGGAUGCAAGUAAAGCAAGCACUAAAGAGACUGAGUCAAAGUCAACCGAACUCUUCUCCUACCGCGCAAACAUGUAUUUAAACAAUCCCUUCCCUUUAGCACAACUCCACUUAGCAAAACAUCAGGGUGCUUAGCGCCCGAGUAAAACAUUCCAUUCAUUUCUUUUCUUAUCGAUCGCUCCACCUUUUAUUGAAUCUUUAUCGAACCAAGUAAAGCAGUAACAGAGUAAGCUGAUGAAGAUUGGAACUCAGCAGGUGCAACGUCCUUUCUUCGUGGCGUCGGCGAGUGAAAAGCUAGGCUGUAACGAGCACCUAGUGCGCAUUAUGUGUUGGAGCCAGGCCAACAACAACUACUUCAUUUCCAUCUUUAGAUUAGAGCGCAGAAUACGAAAACUUGACUUCCUACUCUUGCUCAAACUCCAAAACUUAUUGUGUCGGUGUGUUGGUAAUGAGUAUCUUUCUGUUCUUGUUGACGCCUGCAUAUUGAAGAUCUGAUUGUACCUACUUCUCUAAUAGCUGCCUUUCCAUACUAUGAUCGAGUCGACUCUACUGUCCUUGCUUCUUCUGGAACUGGAACUGACUUGAGAUUGGAUUCUUCUCAGACUCGACAGCUGCUUAUUUGAGAACUGAUCUUGACUUGACGAACACAGGAGACAUUAUACACUGUCAAAUUGAACAGGUAAUUGACUUCUUUACUGGAUUUUUGGAGUAUACUAUCCUCUCCUUGGUUACAGGUUACAAAGAAAGAUCUAUCAUACAUGGCGGGGAACAAUAAUGAUUAAGUAUCCUCUCGGGAAACUGCUUCUACUUAUGUAUACUCUAUUGAAACAGCUUCUAAAUAAGAUGAAACUGGGGAUUCCACUCGCCAAAUCUUUGACUUCGACAUCAGAUCCUGCUCCACCUUUGCUUGAGGUUUAGGCUUUAACACCUUAUGCACUUACUCUUAUGCUUUUGAUAGUACUUUCCUGGAGACAAGACAGCGGAUUCUUCUCCAGCUUGUGAGAUCUGUCUUCUUAUCCUAGAAGUAGAACUGGGUCCUGUGACACUUAUAUAUCUGCUGCCUCCUAUCUAUAUCUAUACCUAUAGUAUAAGCCCAAUGAAAGCUUUUGAACUACUGUAGUAUAACCCAUGUUUUAAGUAAGAAAACCAAGUCCUUUGUUCAAGCGGCAGGGAGCUUAGGAACAAGCAAGUGCUUUUGCCUAAUAAGCAUAGAGAGGAAAGGCACUCAACAAGCAUUAGUAUGAUGCCUGGAACAAGUCCGCUCCUGUUUUCGUCUAGCGUUAGAGAAGAGCUUCUGGUUUAGCCUCCACUUUCCCUUCUUCCUCUCUUAGAGCUAGUCCAGUAUUUUAUAGCUUGAGUCAACUUUCCUCGCACCUACCGAUCCUGUUUUCAGAAUCAGUUCUGGGUAAAGUUGUUGACUGAAGAUCAACUGCCGAUUUGAAUGUUGCUUCGGCCCUUUUUGAAGGAUGGAAUUAUGAAAUUCCUGUUGGCAAUGAUCUGUUACAUAAAAAUGGAUUAUAUGCGCCAGUUUUGAGUCUCGUAUCGAAUAUGGUAAAGAAGAAAGAGCUGGAUUUGACUCAGUAUCUGGAAAGAGAGUUGUUGACUCGGCGUACUUACUACGGAGCUUGUUGCUUGAGAAUGAAUUGAAUCUAUUGUAUAUUUUGCCCAUGGUAUAGAAAAUGGUAAAUAAACUCCUCCUUUCCCCUUCCUUCGAAACUUAUAAUGGUUGGUAUUAUUUUGUAUCUUCUCCUACUCUGCAUAUAGCUAAAGCAUCUUAUGGGGUUCCUACUCCUACGUAAGACCCAUACCCAGUGAUUCAGCUCCAGCAUAUUAUCGAGUUCCUACUCAAUACUCUAUACUAUACUAAACGAGCUUCUUUUCGCCAAGACAAGAACGAAACCGCUCCAUCCUAAUACUAUGUCUAAUUACUAAGGUCUAUACAACCACCUUCUUGAUCUUAUCUUGAGACUCUGACUUGCUGAAUUCGGUAUACCUCUCCUCCGGCUCCUAUAGUUAUGUACAAGUCCUGCUUUCGGGAGCUACUGUUCUAGCGUCAGUCAGGAAUCCCGACACAAGGUAUGGAUCCAUUUGUUAAGUAGGAACAGGGCAAACCUAUCUCCCUUACCGCUUAAAUGUGCAUAUAUUCUUACCAGGUCAAGUGUCGAACAGAGUCUACGAUUCCUUUACUUACUACUGAGCGGUCGAACACCAAAGAAAGGACUAAGAAGUAGAGUCCCUUGCCAGAUUGGAUCUUGCC
rnacentral:lncRNA from 1 species